rnacentral:tRNA from 1 species
GCCCGGUUAGCUCAGUUGGUAGAGCAUCAGACUUUUAAUCUGAGGGCCAUGGGUUCGAGUCCCAUAUCGGGAG